rnacentral:misc_RNA from 1 species
UAAAUAAAUAAAUAAAUAAACUGAUCAGGUACUGCAUGCACUCCCAUGUCUAUCCACACACACACACAAAAAUAUGUGCCAUUUAAAUACUACUUGAGCACAGUCUAGAGUGUUUUGGAUAUCAAUCCAUCAAUUCCAAAUUAAAAAAGGCUAAUUGCUCUAGGAUACUUGGAAUAUUAAAAAAAAAAAAUUCCAUGUGAGAUUUAAACACACGCCC